AAUUUCGGAAACGGAUAGGCUCGCGUGACAUUAGCUAGAUGGCGGGGUAACGGCCCCACCAUGGCGACGAUGUCUAGGGGUUCCUGUAGAGGAAGGUCCCCCACACUGGAACUGAGACACGGUCCAGACUCCUACGGGAGGCAGCAGUGAGGAAUAUUGGUCAAUGGUCUGACGACUGAACCCAGCCAUGCCGCGUGAAGGUGACGGCCCUAUGGGUCUUAAACUUCUUUGUAAGGGAGCAAUAAGGUGUACGUGUACAUCGAUGAGAGUACCUUACGAAAUAAGCAUCGGCUAACUCCGUG
rnacentral:rRNA from 1 species